UUGAUCCUCCCAUUCGCCAUAGGUUUGUCACAAAAAUUACCCCUUGCAUGCCUAAAUGUAAUACUGAAUUAUACUGAUAAACUGCGAAGGGCUCAUUAAACCCGUUAUAGUUAAUUUGAGGUUCCCCCCCCCCCGGAUAACCGUGGGAAUUCUAAACCUAAUACUGGCGCAGGAUCCGACUUCACAAAGGGCCGUAGAUAUAACAUAAAAGGCCGGCCGGGAUCUACUGUCCAAUCCGCGACGAAUCAUGAGCCUUUCACAAACCGCAUAGCCUGGUGCUGGCAAAGUUUCAUUCAAAUUUCCGCCCUAUCAACUUUCAACGGUAGGAGAAAGGCCUACCAUGGAGGAAACGGGAAACGCAGGAUUAUGGUCCGAUUCCGGACAGGGAGCUUGAAAACCGGCUACAACAUCAACGGAAGGAAGCAGGCGCUCAAAUAACCCAACCCUGACCCGGGGAGGAAGCAACAUAAAAUAACAAUGCGGGGCA
rnacentral:rRNA from 1 species